CACUAGCGACAGUUUUCACUGGUACACCGGAUGGGGUUUUUGAAUACGUAUAAGAAAAUUUAAAGAAUGGAAUUACAAAUGGCAAACCCCGUGAAGAUCAUGCUGCAAUUAGUCCUGCACUUGGUGAGAGUUUUGCUUCUCCUAUUAUGGCGGCCAAUAAAAGGAAUGUUGGGGAACUUCAUUCCGUCUUUACGGAUAUUUUAUAGAUGAACAAUAAACUGUUCUCUUUUCUAUUGUU